rnacentral:rRNA from 1 species
UGGGGAAUAUUGGGCAAUGGGCGAAAGCCUGACCCAGCAACGCCGCGUGAAGGAAGAAGGCCUUCGGGUUGUAAACUUCUUUUAUCAGGGACGAAGGAAGUGACGGUACCUGAUGAAUAAGCCACGGCUAACUACGUGCCAGCAGCCGCGGUAAUACGUAGGUGGCAAGCGUUAUCCGGAUUUACUGGGUGUAAAGGGCGCGUAGGCGGGGAUGCAAGUCAGAUGUGAAAUCUAUGGGCUCAACCCAUAAACUGCAUUCAAAACUGAUAUUCUUGAGUGAAGUAGAGGUAGGCGGAAUUCCGAGUGUAGCGGUGAAAUGCGUAGAUAUUCGGAGGAACACCAGUGGCGAAGGCGGCCUACUGGGCUUUAACUG